rnacentral:rRNA from 1 species
AUUGAACGCUGGCGGCAGGCCUAACACAUGCAAGUCGAGCGGGGGAAGGUGCUUCGGUACUGACCUUAGCGGCGGACGGGUGAGUAAUGCUUAGGAAUCUGCCUAUUAGUGGGGGACAACAUCUCGAAAGGGAUGCUAAUACCGCAUACGUCCUACGGGAGAAAGCAGGGGAUCACUUGUGACCUUGCGCUAAUAGAUGAGCCUAAGUCGGAUUAGCUAGUUGGUGGGGGAAAGGCCUACCAAGGCGACGAUCGGUAGCGGGUCUGAGAGGAUGAUCCGCCACACUGGGACUGAGACACGGCCCAGACUCCUACGGGAGGCAGCAGUGGGGAAUAUUGGACAAUGGGGGGAACCCUGAUCCAGCCAUGCCGCGUGUGUGAAGAAGGCCUUAUGGUUGUAAAGCACUUUAAUGAGGGAGGAGUAGGGUUCGUUGAAUAGGCGGAUCUGAGGACGUUACCUCAAGAAUAAGCACCGGCUAACUCUGUGCCAGCCGCCGCCGUAA